rnacentral:lncRNA from 1 species
GCAAGAUUGAUUAAACUUGGUGUAUUUUUACUGGAACCCUUCUUUAAUGAAGCAGAGAGAUUUAUGAGUGAUAAUUGUUUGCAUUUGUUUAUAUGCUAUUUGUAUCAGCAAAUCAGUAACUGUAUUGCAACAUGUACUCAAGAAGAUCUUUAGUAUCUCUUGGUAUAAUGCUUAUUUUAUUUCUGCAAUUUUAAUUUUUUUUUUAUUACGAAACAAC